GACGAACGCUGGCGGCGUGCUUAACACAUGCAAGUCGAACGGAAAGGUCCUGCUUUUGUGGGGUGCUCGAGUGGCGAACGGGUGAGUAACACGUGAGUAACCUGCCCUUGACUUUGGGAUAACUUCAGGAAACUGGGGCUAAUACCGGAUAGGAGCUCCUGCUGCAUGGUGGGGGUUGGAAAGAUUCGGCGGUUGGGGAUGUACUCGCGGCUUAUCAGCUUGUUGGUGGGGUAGUGGCUUACCAAGGCUUUGACGGGUAGCCGACCUGAGAGGGUGACCGGCCACAUUAGGACUGCGAUACGGCCCAGACUCCUACGGGAGGCAGCGGUGGGGAAUAUUACACAGUGGGCGGAAGCCUGAUGCAGCGACGCCGCGUGCGGGAUGACGGCCUUCGGGUUGUAAACCGAUUUCGCCUGUGCCGAAGCGUGAGUGACGGUACUGGGUAAAGAAGCACCGGCUAACUACGUG
rnacentral:rRNA from 1 species